ACUGCUAUUUUAUGUGGUGUUGUGUCUGUGCUGUUUCAUAUCAUCCGUCUGUGUUCUUUUCCAGACCAGUCUCAGGAACAGAGGUACAACUCAAUUGCCGUGGCGGGGGCAGUGAUGGGGGCGGUCCUCGCCCUUUUCCUCAUUGCUGUCUUCACCAUCAUCAUCCUCACCGCACGGAAGACCUCGCCCCCAGCGUUCACAGACAAAGUGAUUGAUCUACCUCCAACACACAAACCGCCUCCUCCCUACACAGAGAGACCCCCAGCCAUCCCUCUGGCUGUCCAUGCACCACAGGUGGCCUCCCUGUCACAGACUCGCAGGGCUGAUCGACGGUUUGAGAUGGCAGAGAGAACACCCACCAGGCUCGCGCACCGGGAACCGCGAAGCCCCUCCCACCAGCUACUGUCUUAUCAGGAAUGGGUGUGUCACCAGCAUGGGACGGACCGCGUCUACAUCAACCACCGGGAAAACUAUGUGUGACAGACACAUCUUGAGCCCUUCUAUGGACCUGUCAAUCAAUCACUCACCCAUCCCCACCCAACGCCAUGCAUGCUCCCAGAGGCCAUCCUUUACAAUGUGAAGAACACAGGCAAAGAAACAGCUCAUGAUUUGACCAAGCCUUCACAGAUGUGUCUACUCCACAUUUAAACUCAUUUGAGAGUAGCAGUUAUGAGCUGUAAGAAACAAGACUAAUGAGGCCGAAGCAUAAACUGCUGAGUUUCUCUGAGGAACACAUCCAUACACCUCCUCCCCUCCCCUCCGCUCCACUACCAUAAACCACCACACACCUUUUCUGUUCCCAACCACAUUAAUAAACAGAGCAUAACAGUAGGGGGAAUGGGAGGAAACCGACUUGGUACAGUAUGACAAAAUAGCUAUUUAAAACAACGCACUAAUCUCUGUUGUGUACUAUAUAGGAGUGGAAUAAUAUGAACACACCGUACUAAUCUUUAACCUGUAUAGGAGUGAAAUAAGUUACUAUGUCACGGUAGCUAUAGUGAUAUUGUAAUUAUGUGAUAUUCCUGUGUUCAGUUAUGCUUUUUGAAUUAGAUUUAAACCUAAUUAAAACACCGUAAACCCUCUUAUAUAAUCCCACAGCACCCCCCUAACACUCGUACUUGACUUGUUCCCCCCAAUAGCACUGACUUUGCUGAUAGCUACUUUAUUGAGGAUAAAUGUACUGACUAUGACUGAGAUAUGUGGUAGCUAUCUUAAGAUGAAUGCACUAACUGUAAGUCACUCUUGAUAAGAGCGUCUGCUAAACUACUGAAAUAAAUGUAAUAAAUAUUUAUAUAAUUGUGGUAUUAAAUAUCAGACAUAUCUCAAAAUUGUUCUGGUAAACACGCAGCCAAUUUAGUAGGAUUCUAACUUUCUGGUAAUAGAACAAAGAUGGCAACAUUGUCUGAAGCAGAGUUUCCCGAACUCGGUCCUGGGACGCCCCCUGGGUGUACGUUUCGUUUUCUGCCCUAGCGCUACACAGGUGAUUCAGAUAAUCAACUUGUCAUCAAGCUCUGAUGAUUUGAAUCAGCUGUAUAGUGCUAGGGGAAAAGAACUAAAAGUGCACCCAGGGCAGGCCCCAGUACCGUGUUUGGAAAAUCCUGGUCUGAAGGACCAGUCACCAGUGUUACAUCAGGAUCAAGUAUUUCAUUGAGUAGCAUUCAGAUAGUAACAUAUAAUGUAAAUUCGCUGUAUUCAAAUGUUCAGAACUAAAAUGUUCAGAAAAUAUAAAUGUGGUGUAGUUAGUUAGCUAGUGUUUUGAGAAGUCAACUGAAUCAUAUAAAAUAUUUACUUCCGCACAUGAAAUUUAAACAUGAAUCAUUCUUUCGUCAGUGAGAAAAUCAGAUUUCGUUUUUUUCAUUGCAAGUUUGUAGUUUUUCAAAUUUUCUUGUGCCAUGUUAAUAUUUGAAGGGGGAUCCUUUCCACUAUAGAUAUGAUCUGUUUUUUUUAUUGUAAUUCUUCCAUUGUGACUAGUUAAA
rnacentral:lncRNA from 1 species